UACAGAGGGUGCAAGCGUUGUUCGGAAUUAUUGGGCGUAAAGGGCGCGUAGGCGGCGACUCAAGUUAGAUGUGAAAGUCCUGGGCUUAACCUGGGGACUGCAUUUGAUACUGGGUUGCUUGAAUUCGGGAGAGGAUAGCGGAAUUCCCAGUGUAGAGGUGAAAUUCGUAGAUAUUGGGAAGAACACCGGUGGCGAAGGCGGCUAUCUGGACCGACAUUGACGCUGAGGCGCGAAAGCGUGGGGAGCAAACAGG
rnacentral:rRNA from 1 species